GAUUUCCUUUGAACAUAUUAUUUGUUGUGGAAUUGGGCAGAUUAACAGUGUUAUAUAUAAGUAGUUUGAAAAUAAGGGCUACAAAUUUUAUUUCCUUAAAUAUUUGUCCUAAAUAUGUUCUAGCUAAAAAAGUUUCUAAAAUAAGUGUUUUAUGAGGGCAUUUCUAAUAUUGUGGAGGUAGGUAGGUGUCUCCACGGGCUUGUUGUGACGACGUAUCUUUCAAGAGUUUGCCCUAUCAACUUGUUUGAUGGUAGGUUACGCGCCUAUCAUGGUAGUAACAUAUGACAGGGAAUCAGGAUUUGAUUCCGGAGAGAAAGUCUGAGAAACAAAUAGCUACUACAUCCAAGGAAAGCAGCCAGACGCACAAAUCACCUACCCCAGAAUGAGGAGGUAGUGACGAAAAAUAAUAAUGCAUGAUUAUUUUGAGACCCCAUAAUUGGAAUGAGUACACUCAUUCCUUUAAAUCCUUUAAGAUCAGUUGGAUCCUUUAAGAUCAGUUGGAUCAGCAGUGGUAAUUCCAGCUCCAAUAGCAUAUGUUAAAGCUGCGGUUAAAAAGCUUACAGUUGGAUCUCAAAAUAGUUCUCGCAGAACUAAAAUUCGCUGUAAUGAAAUAUCAUACUCUAAGUAAAAAAAUAUUCAUACUCCUGCAUGCAAAAUUCAUAAAUGUAUGCGUAAGUUAUAUUUUCAUGUGCCGAUUACGAAUU
rnacentral:ncRNA from 1 species